rnacentral:rRNA from 1 species
GACGAACGCUGGCGGCAUGCCUAAUACAUGCAAGUCGAGCGAAGUUUUUCUGGUGCUUGCACUAGAAAAACUUAGCGGCGAACGGGUGAGUAACACGUAAAGAACCUGCCUCAUAGACUGGGACAACUAUUGGAAACGAUAGCUAAUACCGGAUAACAGCAUUAACUGCAUGGUUGAUGUUUAAAAGUUGGUUUUGCUAACACUAUGAGAUGGCUUUGCGGUGCAUUAGCUAGUUGGUGGGGUAAAGGCCUACCAAGGCGACGAUGCAUAGCCGACCUGAGAGGGUGAUCGGCCACACUGGGACUGAGACACGGCCCAGACUCCUACGGGAGGCAGCAGUAGGGAAUCUUCCGCAAUGGGCGAAAGCCUGACGGAGCAACGCCGCGUGAGUGAAGAAGGAUUUCGGUUCGUAAAGCUCUGUUGUUAGGGAAGAAUGAUUGUGUAGUAACUAUACACAGUAGAGACGGUACCUAACCAGAAAGCCACGGCUAACUACGUG